UACGUAGGGUGCGAGCGUUAAUCGGAAUUAUUGGGCGUAAAGGGCAGGUAGGUGGUCUCGUUUGUCUAGGGUGAAAGCCUUGAGCUUAACUCAAGAAGUGCCCUAGAAACGGCGAGACUAGAGUUCUGGAGAGGGUCGUGGAAUUCCCGGUGUAGCGGUGAAAUGCGUAGAGAUCGGGAGGAACACCAGAGGCGAAGGCGGCGACCUGGACAGAUACUGACACUCAACUGCGAAAGCAUGGGGAGCAAACAGG
rnacentral:rRNA from 1 species